rnacentral:rRNA from 1 species
UGGCGGACGGGUGAGUAACGCGUGGGUAACCUACCCUGUACAGGGGGAUAACAGUCAGAAAUGACUGCUAAUACCGCAUAAGACCACAGCACCGCAUGGUGCAGGGGUAAAAACUCCGGUGGUACAGGAUGGACCCGCGUCUGAUUAGCUGGUUGGUGAGGUAACGGCUCACCAAGGCGACGAUCAGUAGCCGGCUUGAGAGGGUGACCGGCCACAUUGGGACUGAGACACGGCCCAA